rnacentral:rRNA from 1 species
UACGUAGGGUGCGAGCGUUAAUCGGAAUUACUGGGCGUAAAGCGUGCGCAGGCGGCUCGCAAGUCAGGCGUGAAAUCCCCGGGCUUAACCUGGGAAUGGCGUCUGAAACUACGGAGCUGGAGUGUGGCAGAGGGAGGUAGAAUUCCACGUGUAGCGGUGAAAUGCGUAGAUAUGUGGAGGAAUACCGAUGGCGAAGGCAGCCUCCUGGGCCAACACUGACGCUCAUGCACGAAAGCGUGGGAGCAAACAGG